rnacentral:lncRNA from 1 species
AAGGUGCUGUAGAUGUGACUUUCAUCUUAAACAACAGACUUUUUUCGGGGCUCAUCUUGAACAAACAGUAGUUUCUCAGUUAAACCUGAGUCAUGACCUGAACUUGCUCAUGAAAAAGGGAGCCAGCACUCAUUGAACUUCCACCAUGGCCAAUAAAUGUGGUAAUU